rnacentral:rRNA from 1 species
UACAGAGGUCUCAAGCGUUGUUCGGAUUCAUUGGGCGUAAAGGGUGUGUAGGCGGCGCGCUAAGUCGGGUGUGAAAUUUCGGAGCUUAACUCCGAAACUGCAUUCGAUACUGGCGUGCUUGAGGACUUGAGAGGAGACUGGAAUUCAUGGUGUAGCAGUGAAAUGCGUAGAGAUCAUGAGGAAGACCAGUGGCGAAGGCGGGUCUCUGGACAGUUCCUGACACUGAGACACGAAGGCCAGGGGAGCAAACGGG